rnacentral:tRNA from 1 species
UGGGAUGUAGCUUGGUGGUAGAGUGCUUGCCUAGCAUGCACAUGGCCCUGGGUUCAACCCCCAACAUUGCAG